rnacentral:lncRNA from 1 species
GUAUCAAAUAAUUUGAAAAAAAGCAAUAAUGUAUUGCCAUAUGACCAUUUCCAUUGAUGGGUUAAACUUGCAUUAAGUCAUGUUCAGACCCUUUUACAGAAAAUAAAGGAAUAUGGAGUAAAUGUGCACGAAACCUAAUCGCACACAAAGUCAAUGCAUAAAAAAAUACUAAUGAUCACUCAUUUGGUCAAAGUUGCUGGAGGGUC